UAAAGUGCGAUAAGUAAUGCGAAUCGCAUAUAUUCGUGAGUCAUCGAAUCUUUGAACGCAUGUUGCACUCUUUGGCAAUCCAGAGAGUAUGCCUGUUUGAGUGUCAUAAUGCCUAUAUUCUUCCCAUCUGUGGAUGGACCAGAAGAGACUUGAGAUUUCCCAGGCUUUACGGCCUGAAUCUUAAAUUCUAGGCAAAAGUUUGGCCUAAAUGCCUUUCAACUAGUGUGGUAAAAAGGGAAACCUUUACUCGUUUGUUGGAAUAAGCAUCAAGCCUAAAAUUUGCCCUAAAUUAUCUAUUUUACCGUAAUUAUUACGGUGAAACUAGUGACCUCAAAUCAGGCAAGACUACCCGCUGAACUUAA
rnacentral:misc_RNA from 1 species